GCUACGAGGGCCUUAGCCCUCACCAAACCUAUUCCCCCUUCUUCUUCUUCUUCUUCUUAUUCUUCUUCUUCUGGUGGGCGACUACGAGGGCCUUAACCCUCACCAAACCUAUUCCCCCUUCUUCUUCUUCUUCUUCUUCUUCUUCUUCGUUCCUUGCCUUCUUUGGCAAUGGUGGGCGGCUACGAGGGACUUAGCCCUCACCAAACCUAUUCCCCCUUCUUCUUCUUCUUCGCCCUCACCAAACCUAUUCCCCCUUCUUCUUCUUCUUCGCCCUCAACAAACCUAUUCCCCCUCCUUCUUCUUCUUCUUCUUCUUCUGGUGGGCGGCUACGAGGGCCUUAACCCUCACCAAACCUAUUCCCCCUUCUUCUUCUUCUUCUUCUUCUUCUUCUUCUUCUUCUUCUUCGUUCCUUGCCUUUUUUGGCAAUGGUGAGCGGCUACGAGGGCCUUAGCCCUCACCAAACCUAUUCCCCCUUCUCCUUCUCCUCCUCCUCCUCCUCCUCCUCCUCCUCCUUCUUAUUCUUCUCCUAAUGGGCGGCUACGAGGGCCUUAGCCCUCACCAAACCUAUUCCCCCUUCUUCAUCAUCAUCUUCUUCUUCUUCUUCUUCUUCUUCUUCUUCUUCUUCUUCUUCGUUCCAUGCCUUUUUUGGCAAUGGUGGACGGCUACGAGGGCCUUAGCCCUCACCAAAUCUAUUCCCCCUUGUUUUUCUUCUUCUUCUUCUUCUCCUGGUGGGCGGCUACGAGGGCCUUAGCCCUCACCAAACCUAUUCCCCCUUCUUCUUAUUCUUCUUUUUCUUCUUCUUCUCCUUGCCUUUUUUGGCAAUGGUGGGCGGCUACGAGGGCCUUAGGCCUCACCAAAC
rnacentral:lncRNA from 1 species